CUCCUCCUUUCCCAAUCCCCAAGCUUAAACUGGAGGGGCUGUGCUUGGAGCCAGAUUCAUUAGGGCUGUGCCUUGCCUAUCCCUGUGAGGGCCCAGCCCAUCAGCCUCCUCCUCACUGUUUGCAGGUGCUCUCUACAGAGCACUGAGCAGCCCACCCUUUCACCAGGCUCACACCUGCACCCCUGUUCUCCACCAGCUGCCUCACUGCAGCCCCUGAGACAGCCAGGCCUUUCUAGGGCCCACACCUGGGCGUCUCCGCCGAGACCGACUUUCACGCCCACCUGGUCUUCCCCAAGACCCAGAGCCUUCAGAGGUUUCAUCAGAAUUCCCUCAGGAUGUGGGUUAUGAGUUGUCAUCCAAGCCCAGCAGGGGCCAGAGUGUAGGUGGGCCCAGAGGCUUCUGAGCUGGAGGUGAAAGGGGCUUGAAGGCCUCUGAGCGGAGCCGGGAACCCGCCCUCUGGGGACCUGGGAGCCGGCUCAGGUUCCAACACGAGGUCCCAGGCGCUCUCUUCUUGCUUCAGGGGCCUCCUGAAGAGAGAAGGGAGGCUGACCGUAGCUGCGACACCCCCUCAGUGCUGAACAGCAGGCGGGAAGCCCCUCUUGCACCGACUAGACCAGAACGGCAGACAUUUUCCCGACAAGGAAGGGGAGCAAGAUUGAGUAAGAUAAGCCCGGUUAUUUUUAUACAGACAUUGUUCCAACCACAAUGACUGUUUUCAAAGGUGGGCGGUAUUUGUUUGGUGGAAGGAUCUUUGAGUUGAGAGGCAGCAGGAUGCUUCAGCACCACCACUUCCUUUACUUUUCUGAGUGUUCCCCUAUCAAGCCACCAGUUCGGAUUCUGCUCCAUUUUUUCUGCCCGGUAAAGAAGUAGAAUGAGGUGAAAUAUGGCUACCUACUUGCCCCGGGGGGACAGUCAUGGCCGCUGGUCUAACAAUGCACCUGGCUGGAUCAGGAACAUCCACUUUUUCUCCAAAUGAAAGGUUACACACAGGUGUUUGCUGUGCGUCCUCAGACCACCUCAGCUCCUCCUUCCCUACACCUGGGACUCUUCUGCGCAGACUUGGCUUCAAACAAGGCUCACGGUUUUUCCUGGCAUUUGCUUUUUUGGCUUAUGUCACAUCAUUCCUGGGCCACACUCAAUUGCACGUGUGUCUUCUCUGUGAGCUGGGGCUAACACCUGAAGUCUUGCAGUCCACACACAACCCUCAUGCUUUGGCUGUGUUCCCAGGUACAGUAUAUACUUUUUGAAGUUUUGAGUGAUCAACUUCACAUUAAUCUAUUCUCCCUCACUCUAUUCUAAUCCUUUUGGCAAGAACCUGUUCCAAGAUAUUCUCCCCUUUUUUGGCCUAUUCAGCUUGAAACAGAAUGAUCAGAGUAUCACUUCCAGUUGAAGCACACUGCUG
rnacentral:lncRNA from 1 species